rnacentral:rRNA from 1 species
CAGUAGCCGCGGGAAAACGAAGGGGGCUAGCGUUGUUCGGAUUUACUGGGCGUAAAGGGCGCGUAGGCGGACUGAUAAGUCAGGGGUGAAAUCCCAAGGCUCAACCUUGGAACUGCCUUUGAUACUGUUUGUCUUGAGUUCGAGAGAGGUAAGUGGAAUUGCGAGUGUAGAGGUGAAAUUCGUAGAUAUUCGCAGGAACACCAGUGGCGAAGGCGGCUCACUGGCUCGAUACUGACGCUGAGGUGCGAAAGCGUGGGGAGCAAACAGGAUUAGAUACCCCAGUAGUCCCUGUCUCUUAUAC